rnacentral:tRNA from 1 species
GUGGGCAUAGCUCAGCUGGUUAGAGCGCCGGUUUGUGGCACCGGAGGUCAUGGGUUCGAACCCCAUUACUCACCCCA